rnacentral:rRNA from 1 species
CCCUUAGAUGUUCUGGGCCGCACGCGCGCUACAAUGAUGAAUUCAACGAGUUUAUAACCUUGGUUGAAAAGCCUGGGUAAUCUUUUGAACUUUCGUCGUGAUGGGGCUAGACCCUUGCAAUUAUUGGUCUCCAACGAGGAAUUCCUAGUAAACGCAAGUCAUCAGCUUGCAUUGAUUACGUCCCUGCCCUUUGUACACACCGCCCGUCGCACCUACCGAUUGAAUGGUCCGGUGAAAUCUUCGGAUUGAGACUUUGUUUUCUUCACGGAAAACGCUGUUUUAAAAAGUUGAUUAAACCUUNCNAUUUAGNGGAAGGUGAANUCGUANCA